GAUGAACGCUGGCGGUGUGCCUAAUACAUGCAAGUCGAGCGAACAGACGAGGAGCUUACUCCUCUGACGUUAGCGGCGGACGGGUGAGUAACACGUGGAUAACCUACCUAUAAGACUGGGAUAACUUCGGGAAACCGGAGCUAAUACCGGAUAACAUGUUGAACCGCAUGGUUCAACAGUGAAAGACGGUCUUGCUGUCACUUAUAGAUGGAUCCGCGUCGCAUUAGCUAGUUGGUAAGGUAACGGCUUACCAAGGCAACGAUGCGUAGCCGACCUGAGAGGGUGCUCGGCCACACUGGAACUGAGACACGGUCCAGACUCCUACGGGAGGCAGCAGUAGGGAAUCUUCCGCAAUGGGCGAAAGCCUGACGGAGCAACGCCGCGUGAGUGAAGAAGGUCUUCGGAUCGUAAAACUCUGUUAUUAGGGAAGAACAAAUGUGUAAGUAACUAUGCACGUCUUGACGGUACCUAAUCAGAAAGCCACGGCUAACUACGUG
rnacentral:rRNA from 1 species